GAGACUCUGUGCGCGUGCAUAUCAAUAAGCGGAGGAAAAGAAACUAACAAGGAUUCCCUUAGUAACGGCGAGUGAAGCGGGAAGAGCUCAAAUUUGAAAUCUUCAAGGUUCUACCUUGACGAAUUGUAGUUUAUAGAAGUGUUUUCUGUUAGUAGGAGUGGCAAAAGUUCUUUGGAAUAGGACAUCAUAGAGGGUGAGAAUCCCGUAUUUGGUCAUUCUUUCUAGCUUUGUGAUACACUUUCAACGAGUCGGAUUGCUUUGGGAAUGCAGUCCAAAAUGGGUGGUAAAUUUCAUCUAAAGCUAAAUAUUGGCGAGAGACCGAUAGCGAACAAGUACCGUGAGGGAAAGAUGAAAAGAACUUUGAAAAGAGAGUUAAACAGUACGUGAAAUUGUCAAAAGGGAAGCGUUUGACACCAGUGUUGUUUUUCCGAAAAUCAAUUACGAAUGUUUUAUUUUUGAGAAGUUAUGACUUCAUCGGCUUGCUUCUCUCUUUAUGAGACUUUCUUAAUGCACUUUUCGGUUAACAAGUCAACAUCAAUUUCUUUUGUUGUAAAAGGGUAUGAGGAAGGUGGCUUUCUUUUCGGAGAAAGUGUUUAUAGCCUUGUACCUCUGCAAUCGGAGAGAUUGAGGUCUGCAGCGUAGAUCCUUCGGGGUUAGAUACAUUUGUGCUAAGUUAUAGCUUUUCAUAGACAACUUGUUGACUAUGUUUAGUCUUGUAGCUUACUCGCUUAUGCUAUUUUACCUACGCUUAGGAUGUUGAAGAUGUAGCACAUCAU
rnacentral:rRNA from 1 species